rnacentral:rRNA from 1 species
GUGCCAGCAGCCGCGGUAAUUCCAGCUCCAAUAGCGUAUAUUAAAGUUGUUGCAGUUAAAAAGCUCGUAGUUGAAUUUCGGGAUCAAUACGUCGGUCGUGCCUUCGGUACGUACGGGUGUAAUUGGUUUCUACCUUCUGAGGAUCCAUUGAUGUCAUUAAUUUGGUGUCUGGGGGAAUCAGGACUGUUACUUUGAAAAA